AGGCCCAUAGCUCAUUGGUAGAGCGGAGGUCUCCAAAGCCUCGCGUAGUGGGUUCAAUUCCCCCUGGGCCUG
rnacentral:tRNA from 1 species